rnacentral:misc_RNA from 1 species
UAUCUGUAGGUGAACCUGCAGAUGGAUCAUUAACACAUAAUUAUAUACGGAGCUCGCACUUUGUUUGUAGAACUCCAGCGCUGGAUAUCCUUGCACACACUUCAACGUUGAACGCACGAGAUCGGAAGAGCACACGUCUACACCACAGUCAUGCAUACCAGCCGCGUCUAGCAAUAACAGCCUGAAAAUAUAUUCAAUAUAUUAAAACUUUCAACAACGGAUCUCUUGGUUCUG